rnacentral:misc_RNA from 1 species
GAAAUGCGAUAAGUAAUGUGAAUUGCAGAAUUCCGUGAAUCAUCGAAUCUUUGAACGCAUAUUGCGCCCUCUGGUAUUCCGGAGGGCAUGCCUGUCCGAGCGUUAUUACUACCUUCAAGCAAGGCUUGGUUGUUGAGCCAAUUGUCCUUUGAUGGACAGGCUUGAAAUGCAGUGGCGAUGCCGAGUCCUGUUGCCCGAGCGUAUGGAGCUCUGUCACACGCUUUAGUGGCCCAGCCGGCACUUCGUCGAUUAAACCUUAAAACCUAAGAUUUAACCUCGGAUCAGGUAAGGAUACCCGCUGAACUUAA